GUUAUAAGACGAGUCGGGAAAGUUUUUUCGCUAAGAGAUCAGUCUAUGUCCUAUCAGCUAGUUGGUGAGGUAAUGGCUCACCAAGGCUAUGACGGGUAUCUGGUUUGAGAGGAUGAUCAGACACACUGGAACUGAGACACGGUCCAGACUCCUACGGGAGGCAGCAGUGAGGAAUAUUGCACAAUGGAGGAAACUCUGAUGCAGCAACGCCGCGUGGAGGAUGACGCAUUUCGGUGUGUAAACUCCUUUUAAGAGGGAAGAUAAUGACGGUACCUCUUGAAUAAGCACCGGCUAACUCCGUGCCAGCAGACGCGGUAAUACGGAGGGUGCAAGCGUUACUCGGAAUCACUGGGCGUAAAGGGUGCGUAGGCUGGCUUCUAAGUCAGAUGUGAAAUCCAAUGGCUUAACCAUUGAACUGCAUUUGAAACUGGGAGCCUAGAGUUCAGAAGGGGCAGAUGGAAUUAGUGGUGUAGGGGUAAAAUCCGUAGAUAUCACUAGGAAUAUCAAAAGCGA
rnacentral:rRNA from 1 species